GGCAUGGUGGCUCAGUGGUUAGAGCGACCGUCUCAUGAACGGAAGGUCGUGGGUUCGAACCCCGGCCGAGUCA
rfam:Strongylocentrotus purpuratus Contig13412_fixed, whole genome shotgun sequence.